rnacentral:rRNA from 1 species
AUGGAAGGCCUGCCGUUCAUGAAGCAUGGUUGUGUCUUCAGUGCGCACCGCCGGAUGAACGUCAUGCUGGGACACGCUAUCCCUGAUUUAUGCCGCUUCAGCUUGGACGAGUCUCCAUCGUGUGGAACCGGACUAGAAAGCUGUGAAAAUGAUUCCCGUUGCCCACCGCUAUGGAUGGUGCCAUCCAUGAAGAACACCUGGGACUGGAACCUGGAGGAGGACAUUAGUACUAGUAGAAUUGAGAUUGAAUGCACUUUCUUCCCCGUCUUCCACUCUUCCUCCUCUCUUCUUCUUCCUCCUCUCUUCCCCAUCGCCGGCCGCACACCAAUUACCCUCGCUCACUGCUCGCCCGCCCGCGCCAUCUUCCUUGCAGACGCAAAUGCGCUGGCCUUCAUGAUUCCAGAACCUGGAAUCAUACCAGCCGAUGGUACCAUAGAACUGGAUUACCGAUGCAAGUCGAAGAAGGAUUGGCCGGUGCUGCCGGCUGGCGUCAAGUUCGAUCCCACGGAUCAGGAGCUGAUCGAGCACCUUGAGGCCAAAGUGAGUGCUGACAGCGCGAGAUUUCAGUCUCUCAUCGAUUUGUUCAUACCAACCAUCGACAGUGAGCACGGCAUAUGCUACACCCAACCUGAGAAACUUCCAGGUAUCACACUGAGUGGCCUAAGGAAGCAUUUCUUCCAGGGCGUUCAAAAGGGGCACCUGGAUGCGUCGCAAGAUACAGUCGGAGUGCGGCAUGCACGCGAUGUGGCACAAGACCGGCAAUACCUUGCCGGUGAUGGUCAACGGCCGGCAAGACGGGCAGCAAAAAAGGUUCUGGUGCUGCACACCAACAAGAACUUCGACCAGCAGAGGACCAACUGGGUGAUGCACCAGUACCACCUCGGGGACCUGGAGCAAGAUAAGGAGUGGGAGCUGGUCCUCUGCAAGAUUUUCUACCAGACGAACACUAGGGCCAGGAGUAAAAAGAUUAUAGGUUAG